UCAGAGGACGUUAUCAAAAUCUACUGGAUUUGUCCAGCUAUGGGAAGAGGUUGAUGAUCCCAGGUCAAUUUUCCGUGGCACCUACCAGGGUAUGGGGAACCAGAAACUGAAGAAAAGAGUGUGACAGGAACACUAGAUAAAAAGAGAGAUGAACAAAGAGCGUCUGCAGCAAUUGCCACAGCAAUAACAGAAAAGCCAGAACACAGUGCAGUGACCCCACUGUGAUGAGAGAAAAGGACAGACAACCUACGAUGGUAAACACAAGG